rnacentral:misc_RNA from 1 species
AACAAGGCGUACCUGCGGACCUGCGGAAGGAUCAUUACCGAGUUUACAACUCCCAAACCCCUGUGAACAUACCACUUGUUGCCUCGGCGGAUCAGCCCGCUCCCGGUAAAACGGGACGGCCCGCCAGAGGACCCCUAAACUCUGUUUCUGUAUGUAACUUCUGAGUAAAACCAUAAAUAAAUCAAAACUUUCAACAAUGGAUCU